ACUCCCUCUAUUGCCUCUCCAGACCCAGACUUCACCCUCAGGUCACCCUCACCUGGACUUUGGGGUGCCCCACACCCCGCCCCAGGCCCUGGCCUCUGGAAUAUUUGGAAACUUGAACUGGGCCAGAGGCUUAAGCUCACAUCUGUCUGGAGCCUCAACUUUCUCCUCUGUAAAAUGGGCUAACACUGAAAGAACCUUGCAGAAUCUCAGCAACGUCACAGAGGACAUUGUUAGCACAGCCAGCGGGCUCCUGCUGGGCUGAGUUUGUGGGUAAUCCAAGCCUCGGCAGGUACAGUUCCUCCCUCAGGGCCCAGGACACAGUGAGCAUACAAUAGACAUUAGCUGCUGUGGUGUCUUGAUUUCAAGCCCAGUGCAGAUGCAUCUGACUUACGAAACUUCAGUGACACCUGCUCUGUGCCAGACACUGAAGAUGGAGCAGUGAACAGCACUGACCCAGCCUGUCCUCCUGUUGCCUGCAGGCCAGAAGCAAGGUCUCGCUGUGUUACCCUGGCUGGAGUGCAGUGGCUACUUACAGGCAUGAUCAUAGCAUACUGCAGCCUCGAACUCCUGGACUAGAGCAGUUCUCCUGCCUCAGCCUCCAGAGCAGCUGGGACUGCAGACACGCACCACAGAGCCCAGCCUGAGUCAUUUUGAUUCUGUAACUGGCUUCCUCUCGGCGGGCAGGCUCACACCCUCCACCCCCAGCUGGAGAUGGAAGGAGGAUGCUCACCGCCCA
rnacentral:lncRNA from 1 species